rnacentral:rRNA from 1 species
UACGUAGGGGGCAAGCGUUGUCCGGAAUCAUUGGGCGUAAAGCGCGCGUAGGCGGCCCUGUAAGUCCGUUGUGAAAGUCAAAGGCUCAACCUUUGAAAGCCGAUGGAUACUGCAGGGCUAGAGUCCGGAAGAGGCGAGUGGAAUUCCUGGUGUAGCGGUGGGAUGCGCAGAUAUCAGGAAGAACACCAACGGCGAAGGCAGCUCGCUGGGACGGAACUGACGCUAAGGCGCGAAAGCGUGGGGAGCGAACAGG